GCGCAUGUGGUGGAAUUGGCAGACACGCUACUUUGAGGUGGUAGUGCCGCAAGGUGUGCAGGUUCAAGUCCUGCCAUGCGCACCA
rnacentral:tRNA from 1 species